rnacentral:lncRNA from 1 species
CCAUAGCCUAGCAUAUACCAUAUCAACUAGUACCUAUAGCUCAUGCCUGCGGCUUGACUAACGGUUGACGAAAUCUUCUUUAGUAUGUCAGCAACAACGAUGGAAAAUGUAUGAAUAGAAGACGACGUUUGUGCUACAUUAACAGGGCGUUAUACUAACCGGAUAAAGCGGUACGCCACCGCAUCACCGACUUUAUCUUUUUCUUCAGUUUAUAAUUCCCAACUGCACAUAAUAUGUUUUAUCAACUUGCUAGUGAAGAGGAAUCUCAAUUCUUCAACGUAUAGGUCGUACAGGAAAUUAUUUUAAUGUCUCUAUAAUAUCAUUUUCAUUAAGACUUCUGCAUAAAUAUGAGAAGUCCUCUUCCAUUUUCUUCACAAAGAUCAAUAUCUACUCCGUAGGUAUCAGUAUACAUAUCAUAAUCUUUGAGAAUUAUAACAGCGAUGAUAAUAUUAUUUUAUCUUCCGAUAACUUUAAAUUCUAAGUUCUCAUUAUUAUAGCUGUCUCGACUGUCGAUAAAAGCAAGGCCAUCGGAUCGUAUCGAAUCGAUGCAAAAUAUAUUACUUUUUCUAAUUUAUAAUCAAAGUAAUUUACAGGUUUCGGUUGCCACGCAGUCCUGUUGGAAUUCAAAAGGAAUAUGAGCAAGGGCAAGAUUUUUCGAAACCGGUCAAUAAUUUGCAACCACACGAGUAAAAUCCUGGACAAAAGUACGGUGGCGGUCACAAGGUAUGAACCUAUAGCCACCUACUCUUCUGAUUCGAGGUGGUGCAGCGGGAGUUUCUAAAAAUAGAUUCAAGGGCGCGGACGUCGUCCAUAGGGCACUGCUGCAAUGGGAUACUACGGAACGUGACGUCUCGUAGGGUCGAUUAAUAGUGGCCCUUUCUUCUGCUCUUGCUGCUGCUGUUGCUGUUGCAGUCACACGGGCGUUCCUGUCUGCUCCCUAACACAACUUUGCUUGUGUUUAUGGUGGUUGCUGAACACACCUUAUACUUGUAUACACACCGGUAUACCAGACGCGAGGUAUGUUGUGUAUGUUCAAUGUAUGUCCUAUUGGUGUGAAUGCGAAUCGCAAAGACCCAGGGCAGUAAACGUGUGCGCUGGGUUCUGCCAAGCCAUCCAGCCAUCCAGCCAGCCAGCCAGCCAGCCAUCCAGCCAGCUAGCCAGCCAGCAUGCAGCCCUCGGGAAAGUCUUCCUAAAUCGAUACGCAUGCGGUGCACUGCGAUCGCGAUGCGUAUCCACAUAGCGUACCGGUGACAGACGGUCGCCGACCACGUGGCCAGGGAAACGUCAACGUGGAUUCAGGUUUACUUCUUUUGAUUUUUUAUUUUCCCAUUUUUACGAUAUAUGGAACACGUAGCAUGAACAUGAUGCAUCCUUGUCAACUUUACGGGAUUCUAUGUGCUUCAAUUUUUUUUCUUACUCAAAAAAUUGGUCAAAUUGAGAUUCGUGAUAUCGAUUCGCAUAUUCGAAAGAAUAUGGUCCAUGAUACUCUUUUUUUCCUCUUCGCGAUGGAAACUACGAGUACAAUUGUCCCAACAAUUUCUCUUUGAAUGUUAAAACUAGGCUAAAAGUUCAUUAACUUCGCACUCAUUCAUGCUGAAGUAUUAUACUCGUGCACGUAUAGUUAACUCGAUCGUAGCUACACCGUUCUAAAUCACUCUAAUUUCGAACCGAGAAUUAUGUUGGCUCUGCAUAUAAAGGUAAUCAUUUCCAAGCAGUCGAUCGUUAUACGAUUAAUUAUUUUAUAUAUCCACGUAUUUGAAUUAGCUCGUUUAAUGAGGAUUAUGAUAUGAUUUACUGCGCCUCGAUUUCACCUUUCCGAUGAUCUCAUUCUAUGCUUUUCUAAUUAAUUAUGAUGUUAAUCCAUUUAGCGACCGAUUGAUCUCGAACGAUUAUUAUGAAAAAAAUUAAAGAUAAUGGAGGAUCGUAAUCGUUCUUUGAAUUCAUGAGUCCUACUCAUUUGUGACUCAUGCCAUAUUACAAUUUGCGAACGUAUGUCGCAUAGCUGCGUAUAUGUAUGUGUGUGAAACUUCGAAAUUUGAUCGGUAUUUUAAUGUAAAUCGAACGAAAACUAUGUAUAUUCGUGUAUUGAUGAGUUAGUCACAUACCAAAGCGUAAUCGAGUAAG